rnacentral:rRNA from 1 species
GACGAACGCUGGCGGCGUGCUUAACACAUGCAAGUCGAACGGAAAGGCCCUGCUUUUGUGGGGUGCUCGAGUGGCGAACGGGUGAGUAACACGUGAGUAACCUGCCCUUGACUUUGGGAUAACUUCAGGAAACUGGGGCUAAUACCGGAUAGGAGCUCCUGCUGCAUGGUGGGGGUUGGAAAGUUUCGGCGGUUGGGGAUGGGCUCGCGGCUUAUCAGCUUGUUGGUGGGGUAGUGGCUUACCAAGGCUUUGACGGGUAGCCGGCCUGAGAGGGUGACCGGCCACAUUGGGACUGAGAUACGGCCCAGACUCAUACGGGAGGCAGCAGUGGGGAAUAUUGCACAAUGGGCGGAAGCCUGAUGCAGCAACGCCGCGUGCGGGAUGACGGCCCUCGGGUUGUAACCCGCUUUCGCCUGUGACGAAGCGUGAGUGACGGUAAUGGGUAAAGAAGCACCGGCUAACUACGUG